UCGGGACCAAAAGUGAAAGGAAAUGAUCUAAGGUUUCGUGAGGCAUCAGCUAAGUUUGCGCAUCACAUAAAGCCAAGUCAAGUCAAGUCAGGUCAAGCCAAGCCAAGCCAAGCCAAGCAAAGCCAAGCCAAGCCGUCUCAUGCCAUGCCAACGCCAUGCAUUUUCGUUUUUGUUUCGGACGGUAUUGGGUCCCACACGGUUUACACAAGGCAGCCAACAAGACUGAACCCUCUGUUUUGUCCCAUUCGACCCAGCACUUUCACAUCCUAUUUAUUUAUUUAGUUUUAAAUAUUUUCUUUAAUUUAAAUAAAUAAUAAUAAAAAAAAAAAACAACAGGCCGAAUACUUUGUGGAAAAGAUAUGAUUAGUGGGGUGGUUUUUUGUGAUUAUAAUAAUGAUUAUAGAGUAUAUUAAGGGAACAAGAUUAUGUAAUGGGAGCGGAAAAAGUCUUUAUGUAAGGUAAGGGCAAGGCUAAGGUUGAGCAGCCGUGAGAGCGAGUAGAUGGAGAUUGUACAUGUCGAGACGGUUAGGCCUGGAGCGUACGGUCUUUGGGACAUCAGGGUUUAUUUUGUAUAGUCUCUAAGCGAUAAACUUUUGUAUAUGCACAAUAAAACUUUUGUAAUGGGAUCCCAGUUUAAUUUAUGUAUAUUAUUUUAGUGUUUAUAAUUAAUUAAGUAAAAUUUUAAUUUAUCACGAUUUUUAAUAAACUCAUUGAUUAGCAGCGAACUGCAUAGUUAAAUAACUUAUAACUUAUAGUUAACUUUUAC